rnacentral:rRNA from 1 species
GGAGUCUGGGCCGUGUCUCAGUCCCAAUGUGGCCGUUGAACCUCUCAGUACGGCUACUGAUCAUCGCCUUGGUGAGCCUUUACCUCACCAACUAGCUAAUCAGACAUGAGCCUAUCCAUAAGCGAAUUGCUCCUUUUCCGUUGUGAGCAUGUGCCCUCAACGAUUCAUGCGGUAUUAUCUUCUGUUUCCAAAAGCUAUUCCCCACUUAUGGGAAAGUUACUCAUGCUUUACUCACCCGUCCGCCACUGAACUAGUGAUCGCAACUUAGAUAAACUAUCUCUAAGCUCCGGUCACUAGUCCCGUUCGACUUGCAUGUGUUAGGCGCGCCGCCAGCGUUGUCCUGAGCCAUGAUCAAACUACU